UUACGUGCACGCGGGAUUAGGCUACUCGCAGCCGGCCGGUGAGAAUGAGGACGCCGAGAUAACGAGUUCAUCCUCGGCUAUUGGUCCUCUUGAGUCGUCGAAGGUCUCCGGGAAAAUGUCUGCGAUGCGUCCGUACCGAGAAACCAGGAGCUAACGGCUGCUCGACCCUCGACCGUUGGAUGCUAAGUUUAAAAGUUUUCUUUCUUUCGGACUGUUGUUUGUGAGCUGCAGGGAUAAACCACCGAGGCGGACAGGUGUCCUCCUCUCAAGUCACCAGCCCGUCUCCCCUCUCCAUCCCCCGCUACGCUGUAAUACGACCGGGGCUUGGAGUUUGACUUUUUCUUUUUUGUACGAAACUAGACUUUUCUGAGCCAUGUUGUGGACAAGUUGGCUCGUCCUGCUGCUCUGCUGGGGGACCACAAGCGGCGAGCAGCAGGCGGAUGAGAGUGACGGGACCCCGGCUAAGGCCCGGGCGGACCCCCCCAGACAGCGGUCCCCUCCACCGGUGGAGCCGUUGGAUUUUGGGUUUGUACCGGCGGCGGUUUAUGAUACCCACGCUUACUACGAGCCGGGGCCCAUAGGGAUCCUCUUCCACAUGGUCCACGCGUUUCUCUACGCUAUUCAACCAAAUCCCUUUCCCAAAGAUAUGAUUGUUAAAGUCAUUCAACAAAACAUGGGAGGAAUCAAAAUAGAAGAAUGGAGAAAGCCAGAUAAUGUGGUCCUGUUACUACAGUGGAUCUACUACGAGGUCGGAUUCCUCACAUGUGCGACCAUCGGUAUCAUGUUCGUGGUCCUCAUCCCCAUCAUAGGGAUGUGUUUCUGUGUGUGUCGAUGCUGUGAGAACUGCGGCGGGGAGAUGCACCAGAGACAGAGAAAGAACGCCGACUGUCAGAGAGGUUUCUACACCGCCUCGCUCGUCGCCACCUCCAUCUUCAUCAUUCUGGGAGUACUCAUUGCCUAUGCUGCGAACCAUAAUGUCACCAUCCAGAUUAAGAGCACUCGGCGGCUCAUCAACACCAAUUUGAGAGACCUGAAGACAUUUGCUAACAACACACCUGCGCAAGUUGAAUACCUGACAGCCCAGUACACCACAGCAAAGAACAAAGUCCUGUCAGACCUCGACAACAUUGGACCUCUGCUGGGUGGGAGGAUCCACAGUCAGCUGGAGAAAGAGGUGGUUCCCUCGCUGGACACUGCACUGCGUAUGGCAGGAGCCAUGCGGGAGACCAAAGAGGCCCUAGAGAACGUCAGCUCCUCCUUGGAGGUUCUUCAGGAGGAGACGGCGAAACUUCAGGCCAGUCUAUCAGGGGAGCGUGCCUCUCUGUCCAACACCUUAUCAGACCCUGCUUGCACUAAUGGAGCUGUGUCCCACACCUGCAACACCAUCCGCUCCACGCUGUCCCAGCUGGGAAUCAACGCUGACUUCUCCGAGCUGCCAGAUGUCAGUCAUGCUUUGGCCAAUGUCAAUACCGUCCUGAAAACAGACCUCAGCAACAUUGUACAAAAGGGUUACUCAUCCUUUAAUGAUACGCCAAAACUGGUUCAUGAACAAACUAAAAACAUUGUCUCAGCUCUACCUCGAGUAAAAGGUAUGCUGGAUAAGAUUGGAACAGAGAUCAACAGCUUCUCCAAGAUGUUCCCAGUGGAAGCCUCUCUGGUCAAUUUCACCAUUUUCCUCAACCAAGGACAGAAAAACAUUGAGUCCUAUUACCCACAGGUUGACCAAUUGGAUUUCUACAGGUGGAUUGGGUGUGUGGCAGCGCUCUGCAUGGUCGUCCUGGUCCUAGCCUUCAACACUCUCGGACUGCUGUGCGGCGCCUGCGGCUACGACAAGCAAGCUACACCAACAACACGAGGCUGCCUAUCAAACACCGGCGGCAACCUGCUAAUGGCUGGGGUGGGCUUCUCUUUUAUCUUCGUGUGGGUGCUGAUGGCCAUCGUGACCACCUUGUUUGUUGUUGGUGGCAACGUUGAGAAGUUGAUUUGUGAACCGCUGGCUAACCGACAGCUAUUCAAGAUCAUAGAUACACCAUUCCUUGUUCAUCCCGCCAAGAAGAACUUCCUUCCUGGGAUGCUGUUUCAGAAUCCGAACAUUGAUUUGACUUUGGGAAGCUUGUACAGGGACUGCCAUGAAAACAACGGCUUGUACCAUUCUCUGCAGCUGGAGACCAUGUUCAACAUCAACUCCUUCCUCAACAGAACUGUGUACAACAAGGAUCUGGCCAAAGUGUUUGAGAGUGUGCAGGUGGACCUGCAGGACAUCAUGCUGCUGGAGCAGGCCGGCAGAGACAACCUCAUGAACUUCGCCAACUCUGGAGUCGGAGAGAUCGACUAUGAAGCCUACCUGGCUGAGGUAAACAAGGGAGUCACUCUUGUGGAUCUCCUGUCCUUCUCCACUGACCUGGAGGCUCAGGCCGACCAACUGCCACGUGGUGCUCUGGAGAACGCACUGAAAGGACAUGCCAGCAGUAUCAGACAGAUUCACAGAGAUCAGGUGGUUCCCAUUCAGCAAGCAAUGAGUACACUGAGCCAGAGUAUCAAGCAACUGCAGAGGAUGUCCAACAACCUGCCGGUCAAGGUCACGAAUAUCCUGAGUGCCAUCGAUGCAGCAGAGUACCUCAUCACUCAUAACGCCUCCCAUGUGGUGAAACGGGAAACAAAGGGCUACACACAGAGCUUGGAGGGUUACUUCAAACAGUACACAGAAUGGGUUAAAAACUCAUUGACUGCAGAGGUGGCCCAGUGUAAACCCAUCAGUAACAUUGUGGACAGUAUGGAGAUAGUAGCGUGCAGCUUCAUAGUUGAUUCAGUGAACACAUUCUGGUUUGGUCUGGGCGGCUGCUGUAUCCUUCUGAUCCCCAGUAUCAUCUUCUCCGUCAAACUGGCCAAGUAUUACCGAAGGAUGGACACAGAGGACGUCUUUGAAGAUAUGGGUAAUACAGGUAAUCAUGGUGAUAUCCACGGAGACCUCGCUGUGGUCAGCUCUCCCUAUUCCGACACUCUGACCCGGUUCCCUCGGGCCUCUGCUCCCCCGAGCUACUCCGACUGGUGACCCAAAGGAACUCGUCGAUGAGCGGACAAGAGGGCUGGAACUGAUAUUUUCCUCGUGGAUCACUGGACUUUCCCAGCUUUCCCAUUGGGAUCAUGUAAUCAAUGGACCAAAGGGAAGAACAACAACCACCAGGGACUGUGUGGGGAGGGCAUCCCACUCCCCAGAACCCCUUCAAGCCAUUUGACAAGGACCUCAGAUGCCAGCCAACUCUAAUUUAUCUCUCAUGCACAUGCGUACUAGUCAGAGCAGUACCACAACAGUCCUUCUAGUGUUACUGUCACUGUACAUGAUCAACUAAUGUAUCCGAGCAAUGUUCCUGCAUAGCUAGUUUAACCUGUAGAAAAUACAUUUGUUUGUACUUACGUUAUCAGUUUUACCAUGGUGACACAAGUGUACAUUUUUUACGCUUUCAAAACUUUUGAAAGUUUUAUAUAUUUUUGUUAAUGUUUGUUUUAUAACACUUAAGUAGGUUUUUGUAGAAGUAGCUAUUUUCUUUAUUUUAUCUGUCAAUAUUUGUAAUGUAGCUUGCAUCAUUUUGGCUCAACAGGUUUGCAUCUUGUUGAGAGAGAAGAUACCACUCUUGUGUCUUUUUGUUAAAUACCAGCCUGUUGGCUUAGUUUUGCAUGAAGACAGUAACGAAGUGUCGCAAGUCUACAGCCAUGCUAGCAGUUGUGCUUUGAGCUAAAUGCUAACGUCAGCAUGCUAACAAGCUUACAAUGACAAUGCUCACAUGUUGAUGUUUAGUAGGAAUAAUGUUUACCAGGUUCAUCAUCUUAUGCAUGCUAACAUUUGCUAAUUAGCAAUAAACAAAGUAUUUGGUCAUAAACCAAAGUAUUGGACAAAGUUGACAAAGACCUGAUGAUGUCACUGGAUGAAAAGUCAGGGAUCUCCAACAUUAUUACAAUUCACCCUCUGGACACAGUAAAUAUCUGUAGUCACUUUCAUUACAAUUCAAUAGUUGUCAAGACCAUAAAUGUCUGUACAAAAUUUCAGGCCAUCAAUAGAGAAAAUAAUAAUUUACGGGGGGGUUGUGCACCGGACUAUU